GGAGUCAUGUGUCACAGGAGCUCGAGA
rnacentral:piRNA from 1 species